rnacentral:lncRNA from 1 species
CAGGAAGGCAUGAGAAGAGAGAGAUGCCCCUGCAAGCCAGACCCUUACCCUGGUGCUUAUUUAGACCUGAUUUUAAAAAUGUUGAAAGCAAGCCCUGAGAGGGGCACACCAGGUGAUUUGCCUCGUGCAGGCCCUCUGUGCCCGCAGGACAUUCGCAUCACAAGUAGCUGCCACUGUGGAGGAGAGGAAAGUUAUGGUUGGGAACCCUUGUUAUUUUUUUUCCACCAUGUAUAUAUGUCCACUGGUUACUUGAGUGACCUUGAACAAGUUGCCUGGAGCUUUUUAACACCAAUAAUAUCUAUAGCAGCUGUGCAGGGAGAGCCCAGCUAUGAAAGGGGAAACUUUGGACUAACUUUCCCGUUCCUCAGUGGUGUUUGAAAUGUGUAUGUUUUCUUACAUUUGCAUCAGAUUUGGGGUCUGCCAGUUCUUUCUUCUUAUGCUCUAAUUUGAUAUUUCAUAUUAU